AUCCCCUUUUUGUCCCUCCGUUAUUACGAUUUUCUUUUUUCUUUUUUAAUUUUUAGCUUAGGAAAAUUAUGUCUGAUUUAAGGAUUUGUGCCCUAUGCCUUGUUUGGCUCCUCGCAUUCGGCGACGUAACAUGCUGAUCUGAAAUUUAGUUCUCGAAUUUCUGCUUCGAUGUAGCCUAUUCAAAACUCUAAUUCGGAUUGCGUCGUAUAAAUUCGCAUUCUGAACUUUGUGGUUUUUAUAGAUUGUGUUUAUUUUACGUCUUGGAGCGUUUUCCAUUUCCCCGAUCGCUCGCCGAUGUGCUGUCUGAUUGAUUGAUUCUAUAAUCACGUGUUGGAGAUUGUGUUAAUGGCUUCUUAGGUGCAGUCUUGUCAUAAAUUGCGUGAAACUUUGGAUCUCCAUUGCGUAUAAUUCACUCUUAACUUUUAGGGAUUUUGUUACAUUCUUAAAAUUCAGUGUGAAAAAUAUUCAGGGGUGAGUUUUUCAUGUAAAUUUCAGUUUCUUACUUUCUUAUCUCCUUAAUAGCAUAAAAGAAAAUAAUUGAGGGACGGAAUCCAUGUGCUCAAACAAUGUGCAUGAAGAAAGACAGAAAUGGAAUAAAGAAAGAUACCAAUUUUUUUUUCCUUUUCUUUUGAGUUUCGGUGCCUUCCCCCCUUCUUUGUGAUUGGAAUGUGAAGAAAGUGGAAGAAGAUAACAAAGUAGGCAGGCAUAAUUUCUUACCAGAUAUUCAUUGAUGCAAUGGAGAGAUAUAAGUUUUGUGUGAUUUUAUAUGCUCUUUUAGCUCUAGCAUUUCUCUUUUCUUCCUGCUGAAUUUUUAAUAAGGUAUACGAGUAUUUAAAUAGUAGUUUCAUAAAAUUUAGUGCAUGUUUGUUUACCAUCUAAAAUCAAUUUUACAGUCUGACACUUGUUUCAAUGUAAUUUUUUUUUUGUUAAAAUUAAUUUCGACACACAUGAAUAACAUUCUGACAGUUUAAAAAUCAAAAUCGGUUAUACCAAACUUUAAAACCAAUGAGCACAUAAUUUAUUUAAGAUUCAUUGUCGUUUGGUUGAUAUUUUUAAGUAGUGCCUUAUACAAUUUUGGUAGCUUUCGUGAUGGACCAAAUGUGUUUAGUAGUUUUUGUUUGUGUGAUGAUGAUGGAAAUCUUCUAUGUUACAAAUUAUACUCCAAAGUGCCAACAAAAAAAUUAUUCAUGUGAUCUGCUUUUGAUGGGUGUCCCAUUUCAUGUUCCCCUGCUUCAACUUUAAGGAUGAAGAGUGAUAUAGCGGGACAAUGGUGCUUGGGUCCACAAAAUGACCCCAACUCUUUGAUAUAGAUCUUGAUUUUAAUGAUGUUGUUUGUCAAUAACCUUUGACAGGGACUGAUUUUUACUGGUAAAAACAAUGGAAACUGGCACCUUACACAAAUAGCAAUUGCAGAAAUUAAAAGAUAAAUCUAGAGUUUUGCUGAUGCUCAGAACCUCUAGCCCAAACCCAUUCCUUCUUCCCUUCAAAUCAUGGCUAACUGCACUUCCUAUCUUCCCUCCUUUACUCUCAAACUGACUUCCAACCUUCCUCAUCCCUGUUCAGUUUUUUAAUAGAACAAUUUCGUGAGCCUGUUUCAGUGCUCUUGACCAACUUUCUUUAGGAUGUUGCAAGAAGCAGGCUUAAUAUUCUUCUUGUCUGUGUAUUAAUAUCAUGGAUAUUCAUGGGUUUCUCUAUUUUGGUAAUUUUGUCUGUGCUACAUUUUGCUUCAUAUGCAUAUCCAUAUCUAUUUUCUGGUUGGUUCUGAGUGCAGCCUUGAUUAAUUUUUUUGUUUUUUU